rnacentral:tRNA from 1 species
GGGGCCAUAGCUCAGUUGGGAGAGCGCCUGCCUUGCAAGCAGGAGGUCGUGGGUUCGAACCCCACUGGCUCCACCA